UAGGGAAUCUUCCGCAAUGGGCGAAAGCUUGACGGAGCAACGCCGCGUGAGUGAUGAAGGUCUUCGGAUCGUAAAACUCUGUUAUUAGGGAAGAACAAAUGUGUAAGUAACUAUGCACGUCUUGACGGUACCUAAUCAGAAAGCCACGGCUAACUACGUGCCAGCAGCCGCGGUAGUACGUAGGUGGCAAGCGUUAUCCGGAAUUAUUGGGCGUAAAGCGCGCGUAGGCGGUUUUUUAAGUCUGAUGUGAAAGCCCACGGCUCAACCGUGGAGGGUCAUUGGAAACUGGAAAACUUGAGUGCAGAAGAGGAAAGUGGAAUUCCAUGUGUAGCGGUGAAAUGCGCAGAGAUAUGGAGGAACACCAGUGGCGAAGGCGACUUUCUGGUCUGUAACUGACGCUGAUGUGCGAAAGCGUGGGGAUCAAACAGG
rnacentral:rRNA from 1 species